UACACACGGAUAACAUACCGAAAGGUAUGCUAAUACGGGAUAAUAUAUUUGAGAGGCAUCUCUUAAAUAUCAAAGGUGAGCCAGUACAGGAUGGACCCGCGUCUGAUUAGCUAGUUGGUAAGGUAACGGCUUACCAAGGCGACGAUCAGUAGCCGACCUGAGAGGGUGAUCGGCCACAUUGGAACUGAGACACGGUCCAAACUCCUACGGGAGGCAGCAGUGGGGAAUAUUGCACAAUGGGCGAAAGCCUGAUGCAGCAACGCCGCGUGAGUGAUGAAGGCCUUCGGGUCGUAAAACUCUGUCCUCAAGGAAGAUAAUGACGGUACUUGAGGAGGAAGCCCCGGCUAACUACGUGCCAGCAGCCGCGGUAAUACGUAGGGGGCUAGCGUUAUCCGGAUUUACUGGGCGUAAAGGGUGCGUAGGCGGUCUUUCAAGUCAGGAGUGAAAGGCUACGGCUCAACCGUAGUAAGCUCCUGAAACUGGGAGACUUGAGUGCAGGAGAGGAGAGUGGAAUUCCUAGUGUAGCGGUGAAAUGCGUAGAUAUUAGGAGGAACACCAGUUGCGAAGGCGGCUCUCUGGACUGUAACUGACGCUGAGGCACGAAAGCGUGGGGAGCAAACAGGAUUAGAUACCCUGGUAGUCCACGCUGUAAACGAUGAGUACUAGGUGUCGGGGGUUACCCCCUUCGGUGCCGCAGC
rnacentral:rRNA from 1 species